rnacentral:rRNA from 1 species
GAGGACGACGCUGGCGGCGUGGAUUAGGCAUGCAAGUCGAACGGUAUCAUCCUUUCGGGGGUGAGAGAGUGGCGAACUGGUGAGUAACACGUAGGUUAUCUACCCUCAAGACGGGGACAACCCAGGGAAACUUGGGCUAAUACCGGAUGUGAGCAACUUUUAGUGUUUGAAAGGUGGCGUAAGCUGUCGCUUGGGGAUGAGCCUGCGUCCUAUUAGUUAGUUGGUGAGGUAACGGCUCACCUAGGCAAUGAUAGGUAGGCGGCCUUAACGGGUGGUCGCCCACACUGGGAUUGAGAUACGGCCCAGACUCCUACGGGAGGCAGCAGUCGAGAAUAGUCUACAAUGGUCGGAAGACUGAUAGUGCGACGCCGCGUGAACGAUGAAUCCCUUCGGGGUGUAAAGUUCUUUUAUAUGUGAGCAGUGCUUCUUAUAUUAACAGUAUGGGGAGAGAGAUAUUAGCAUAUGAAUAAGCAACGGCUAACUCCGUG